UCUGGUGAUGAUGGCGAAGAGGUCACACCCGUUCCCAUACCGAACACGGAAGUUAAGCUCUUCAGCGCCGAUAGUAGUUGGGGGUCUCCCCCUGUGAGAGUAGGACAUCGCCAGGC
rnacentral:rRNA from 1 species